rnacentral:rRNA from 1 species
GGGUGAGUAACACGUGGGUAACCUGCCUGUAAGACUGGGAUAACUCCGGGAAACCGGAGCUAAUACCGGAUAGUUCCUUGAACCGCAUGGUUCAAGGAUGAAAGACGGUUUCGGCUGUCACUUACAGAUGGACCCGCGGCGCAUUAGCUAGUUGGUGGGGUAAUGGCUCACCAAGGCGACGAUGCGUAGCCGACCUGAGAGGGUGAUCGGCCACACUGGGACUGAGACACGGCCCAGACUCCUACGGGAGGCAGCAGUAGGGAAUCUUCCGCAAUGGACGAAAGUCUGACGGAGCAACGCCGCGUGAGUGAUGAAGGUUUUCGGAUCGUAAAGCUCUGUUGUUAGGGAAGAACAAGUGCGAGAGUAACUGCUCGCACCUUGACGGUACCUAACCAGAAAGCCACGGCUAACUACGUGCCAGCAGCCGCGGUAAUACGUAGGUGGCAAGCGUUGUCCGGAAUUAUUGGGCGUAAAGGGCUCGCAGGCGGUUUCUUAAGUCUGAUGUGAAAGCCCCCGGCUCAACCGGGGAGGGUCAUUGGAAACUGGGAAACUUGAGUGCAGAAGAGGAGAGUGGAAUUCCACGUGUAGCGGUGAAAUGCGUAGAGAUGUGGAGGAACACCAGUGGCGAAGGCGACUCUCUGGUCUGUAACUGACGCUGAGGAGCGAAAGCGUGGGGAGCGAACAGGAUUAGAUACCCUGGUAGUCCACGCCGUAAACGAUGAGUGCUAAGUGUUAGGGGGUUUCCGCCCCUUAGUGCUGCAGCUAACGCAUUAAGCACUCCGCCUGGGGAGUA